rnacentral:lncRNA from 1 species
GCCAGCUUCAUCAGGCUUGUCAAUCCUUCCCCAUUUUAAAGGAAAAUGCUUUCCACAUUGCUUCCAGUGCGAUAUGGCUCUUCUUGUACUUUUUCCUCUUCGUAAGGUAGGAGUGAUGGAAAAUACCAGUCUUUGACGAGCACAUGGAAGUUUCCAGCGACAUGAAUCCACUGUAUCUGAUUUUGGAUUGUAUUUUCUUUAACCCCCUUUUACGGCAUAGAAUUCUGGUGCCUUGCUCCCUGAAUUUGUCUCCAUGCUAACAAGUAGGCUUUCUUCACAUUCUGGCUUACACGGGAACACAACUCUUCCACAAGUGGCCUUUAGUGCUCUUUAUAAUAUGAUUUCCUGUAAUUUUUAAACUGUAUGUG